CCACUGCCGUGCCGUGGGCUGGCUUCUUCCCCAGCCGCUCCUUCUCAUCUCUCCCUCUACGGUCGAGCUCCCAGCCUGCACUUCGGUUCUCUGCGUGUGGCUUCGCUCCUGGAGCAAAAAUCCCGCCGCCCCUGCGCAGAUUUUUCCAGCGUCUAUAUCUCUGUGCGCAGGUCCAAGCCACCGUUCAGCUCGAGAAGAAAAUCCUACCGUGCUCGAUUCUUCCCUGCGCGUCUCCUCCGCUUGGAGCUUCCUGCGCUCCCUGCGUCCCUAUGUGGCCGGAACUCCCUUCAUGGCCGGAGCUCGGACGGCGCUCGGUCCUGCCGCCUGCCCCAACGUCGACUAUCUCCAGCUCGCCCCCGACCUCUUCUCUCCCUGUCGCGUCGCUCUCUCUCUGCUCGCUCUCCUCCAUGGCCGCCGUGGGCUCGCCGGCGUGGUCCCUGUCCUGGCCACCGUGGUGCCGCGUGCCCAUGUGCCAGCGCAUGCCCAGCUCCUCUCCGUCUGCUCGGUCUUCUUCCUGGAGCGAGCUCUCUUCUCUCCC
rnacentral:misc_RNA from 1 species